ACCCCAAGUGUCUAUAUAACCCCGCCCAUAGCACUGCCCCCCCCCCUAUAGAGGGGCCCCGCAGGUACAGGCAGGUAUAGAGGGGGCCCCGCAGGUACAGGCACGUAUAGAGGGGCCCCCGCAGGUACAGGCACGUAUAGAGGGGCCCCCGCAGGUACAGGCACGUAUAGAGGGGCCCCCGCAGGUACAGGCACGUAUAGAGGGGCCCCCGCAGGUACAGGCAGGUAUAGAGGGGCCCCCGCAGGUACAGGCACGUAUAGAGGGGCCCCCGCAGGUACAGGCACGUAUAGAGGGGGCCCCGCAGGUACAGGCACGUAUAGAGGGGGCCCCGCAGGUACAGGCAGGUAUAGAGGGGCCCCCGCAGGUACAGGCAGGUAUAGAGGGGGCCCCGCAGGUACAGGCAGGUAUAGAGGGGGCCCCGCAGGUACAGGCAGGUAUAGAGGGGGCCCCGCACAUACGGGGGUACCACAUGGUAUAAGGAAAUGCUUACGGAGAAU